GAUGAACGCUGGCGGCGUGCCUAACACAUGCAAGUCGAACGGAAAGACGAGGAGCUUGUGCCUUUGACGUUAGCGGCGGACGGGUGUGUCACACGUGGAUCACCUCCCUAUAUGUCGGGGAUCAUCACGGGACACCGGCUAUAAUACGGUAUAAUAUCUUGCACCGUAUGGGUCAAUGGAGAAAGACGGCUUUGCGGUCACGUAUCGCUGGUUCCGCGCCGUAUUGGCUAGUUGGUAAGGUCACAGCUUAUCACGGCAACGAUGCGUAGCCGACCUGAGAGUGUGAUCGGCCACACGGGAACUGAGACACGGUCCAGACUCCUACGGGAGGCAGCAGUAGGGAAUGGUCGGCAGUGGGCGAAAGCCUGACGCAGCAACGCCGCGUGAGAGAUGAAGGUCUUCGGAUCGUAAAACUCUGUUAUUGGUGAAGAACAGAUGUGGAAUGAAACGUGGACGUCGUGACGGUACCUAAUCAAAAAGCAACGGCUAACUACGUG
rnacentral:rRNA from 1 species